rnacentral:rRNA from 1 species
UACGGAGGAUGCAAGCGUUAUCCGGAAUCAUUGGGCGUAAAGCGUCCGCAGGUGGUUAUACAAGUCUGUUGUCAAAGACAGUAGCUCAACUACUGAAAGGCAGAAGAAACUGAAUAACUAGAGUACGGUAGGGGUAGCAGGAAUUCCCAGUGUAGCGGUGAAAUGCGUAGAGAUUGGGAAGAACAUCGGUGGCGAAGGCGUGCUACUGGGCCGAAACUGACACUGAGGGACGAAAGCUAGGGGAGCGAAAGGG